UAUCUCGGGGCUGGCAGGUGGUUUCUGCCUCUCCCUCACUCAGCAAACACGCAGCUUGGUCUCGGCAUGCACCUCGCCUAUCUCAUCCUCACGGUCUUCCUGGGCCAGCUCCUGGGCACCACGGGGCAGAUCACGGUCACCCAGGAAGAUGGACAAGUCAUAGUGGAGCAGAGACAUCCCUUCCAGACCACCUGCACAUACCAGAUCAGUAAUUUUAGGGCAUUGCUCUGGUACCAGGUGCGGAAAGGCCAAGCCCCACAGCUGGUCUCCUAUCACGCAGGGCCUGGCGCCAAGCACAGCGGCCGUAUCACCACGCACCUGAACACUACGGGGAAAUACAGUGUCCUGCAGGUGGAGGAAGUGGAGGUCUCUGACAGUGCCUUGUACCUCUGUGCUGUGCAAGACACCCUGGUGCAGGGAACUUCCUCGGCUGUGCAACAAGCCAGCGGAGGGAGGGAGGGAGGGAGGGGAUGUGUCUGUGAGAGGGUGAGCUUGGGGCAAGGGAACCUGAGGUCGCCCCGAUGCUCACCAGACGGGACCUCCCCACGUCUGUACAAUGGCCUGAUGGUUUUCACCCCAUCCAUGCUAGCACUUCCCUCGGGAAAAUGUUCUGGACUAUUUUGACUCAUUUCCACCCUGUGCAGUCUCUAAGUGAAGA